UGCCUCUCUUCUUUUUUAAGAUCCACUUACACCCUAUGGAUUUUAUCCCUUUAGGUGGGUUAACUAAUGUCCACAUAUCAUUGACCUUCAUGGACUCCAUUUUGAACUUCAUGGCUUCAAGCCAUUUAUCAGAGUCAAACCUCUGCAUUGCAUCCAUAUAGAUGAUCGAAUCCUCAUUAUUUUUAUUGAGUUCAACAGGAUCUCCAUCUCGGAUCAAAAAAUCUUAGUAUCUGUCUAGUUGGUGCGAUGCUCUAUCGAAUCUCCUUAAUGGUGCAUCUAUAACAAGCUCUGGUUUGAUCCAAUCAAAUUUGAUUCUAUGUAUUCACUAGAUUGUAUCGG
rnacentral:lncRNA from 1 species